AACUGGUCUGAUGGUAGUGGGUUAUGAGAGCUUAUUAACAUUGUGUCACUAAAGUUGGUAUACAACCCCCCCAUGCUAAGUUUGACUGGCUUAAA
ensembl:misc_RNA Y_RNA Y RNA